rnacentral:rRNA from 1 species
AUGGGAAAUAUGACUAAAACUCUGUUCUCCGGAACAAUGCAGCGAGCCAAUGACUUAUUGGAAAUAAUAUAUACUGAUGUAUGCGGUCCAAUGAGUGUUGAGGCACGCGGCGGGUAUCGUUAUUUGCUGACCUUCACAGGUGAUUUAAGUAGAUAUGGGUAUAUCUACUUAAUGAAACACAAGUCUGAAACAUUUGAAAAGUUCAAAGAAUUUCAGAGUGAAGUGGAGAAUCAUCGUAACGAUAAAAUAAAGUUUCUACGAUCUGAUCAUGGAGGUGAAUAUUUGAGUUAUCAGUUUGGCCUUCAUUUAAAGCAAUGUGGAAUAGUUUCACAACUCACGCCACCUGGAACACCACAACGUAAUGGUGUGUCCGAACAUCUUAACCAUACUUUAUUAGAUAUGGUGCGAUCUAUGAUGUCUCUUACUGAUUUACCACUAUCAUUUUGGGGGUAUGCAUUAGAGACAACUGCAUUCACAUUAAAUAGGGCCUAG